rnacentral:lncRNA from 1 species
GCCAGUAAGUGGUAGAGCCAUGAUUCAUUCAAACCUAGGUUUGUCUGACCUCAAAGCUCAUUCUUUCAAAGUACAACUCUCUAUGUCCUCCUCAAGAGGCACUUUCUCGAGCUAGAGCCAAACCAACAACUAAAGGGUGCCUCCAAAAUCUGCUCUGUAGUCCUCUAUUUGACCAAGUGGACUGCUCUUAACUGGGGGAACUAAGACUGGUGCAUGUAAAGCAAUACAAUAUCACCCUCAGGAAUAAAGGAUGACAAUAGAAUAUCUCUGGUCUUUCCCAUGCCCCUUCAACCCUUCUUUAAAAAAAACAUCCUUUCUGUUUUACUACAUGAUUCUGGGAUACAGGGAGUCAAGGCUAGUGUAACCUCUGGAAUAAUUCCAUUACGUUCUUAAUUCCAGUUUAUUUUGAUCUCAGUUUACAUUUAUGGACCGAAGAAAGUGGUAGGUUCUGUAGGAGAACAGGACACAGUCAUCCCUAUUCUCAAGGAUACAGAAAACUUCUGGGUCCUGUUCUUUUACUCAGUGCAAGUAGUUAUAGACUAACUAUGGGCCUUGUGGUGUUCAGUAUUCUUCGAGUUUUGAGUAUCAUACUAAAAAGUUUCAACAGAAAGUCUCCUCUUAAAGAGGUGUUCUAUUCCCCCAGAGGUAAUCAGAAGCUGCAUUCUCUGGCAUUCUUGUGUUGUGCAUUUCACGUCCUCUGGCAUCUCAUGACUGGGUUGGUCUCUCUACCUUUUCCUGUCUAACUGCUGCUUGUUUUUUGAGGUCUUUCUGCACAAAGUGGUUUCUGGUCACGUCAGCCCAUAUUGAUAUCUUUCCUAGAACAAUCAAGGGCAGAAUCGGCUUUGACUCCUAUCUGCUAUUUAUUGGGAAAAGCCUUAGUUGCAUAAGUGGAAUUCCUUUUCACAUUUGAGAAACAGAGGAGAGACAGUUGGAUUUUUUUCCUGUUUCUGGUUAAUUGCUAAAAUCUACAGUGUGCUGAAGGUGGAGUAAAGUAUUUCCCCAAAGGAUUCCAAGCACAUCUCCCUUGCCCUUGAAUAUCUGUAUAUCUAUAUGAACAUCAAUUGAGAUAUAUAUGUGUGUGCCCCUAAUUACAUAAUUUUAAGCAUAUAUAUAAAAAUGUAAAAUCUCAUUGUCUGGCCUCAGUUUGUAUGACACAAAAUACUGAUUGUAUGGAAGAAAACAGAUUGGGAAACAGAUUUAUUCUAUAUCAUAUUUUCCUGAAAAGCUACCUUAAAAAGAUUUAAAUUAAAGCAAUUAGAGCAAGGGAGGCACAUUUCUUUAAAAAAUUAAAGUUGAGUACCAUACUGGUUUUUCAGAUGAAAUUUUCUUUUCCUUUUUCUCCUUCAUAUUGCUCAGAGCAUCUAAUUCCAUCAGAACUAUUGUCAAAUAAAUUUUAUGUAAAAUGUGUAUUUUUCUAAUGGGAGUUGAUUAUACAAACUGUAUUACACCUUUGUAUCUGAGUGAUCAUUUAAAAAUGCAUAUUGGUUUAGCACAUAGAGUUUAUGAAAUGCCAGAUAAUGCUCUUAUUCCUCAGUGAAAUCUGCACAUUUCUAGUUGUUGGUGGUCUAUUUCUGUUUGCUGUUCCUUGGAGGGGGGCUGAGAAUGUUCAAGUUUGACUUAGCUGUGUUUAAGUAAUAAAUCUUUGGAGUCAA